UUAAGCGACUAAGCGUACACGGUGGAUGCCCUGGCAGUCAGAGGCGAUGAAGGACGUGCUAAUCUGCGAUAAGCGUCGGUAAGGUGAUAUGAACCGUUAUAACCGGCGAUUUCCGAAUGGGGAAACCCAGUGUGUUUCGACACACUAUCAUUAACUGAAUCCAUAGGUUAAUGAGGCGAACCGGGGGAACUGAAACAUCUAAGUACCCCGAGGAAAAGAAAUCAACCGAGAUUCCCCCAGUAGCGGCGAGCGAACGGGGAGGAGCCCAGAGCCUGAAUCAGUGUGUGUGUUAGUGGAAGCGUCUGGAAAGGCGCGCGAUACAGGGUGACAGCCCCGUACACAAAAAUGCACAUGCUGUGAGCUCGAUGAGUAGGGCGGGACACGUGGUAUCCUGUCUGAAUAUGGGGGGACCAUCCUCCAAGGCUAAAUACUCCUGACUGACCGAUAGUGAACCAGUACCGUGAGGGAAAGGCGAAAAGAACCCCGGCGAGGGGAGUGAAAAAGAACCUGAAACCGUGUACGUACAAGCAGUGGGAGC
rnacentral:rRNA from 30 species